rnacentral:lncRNA from 1 species
GCUCCAAGAGCUUGUGGGGGAGCUUUCUAUUCUUAGAUACCAUCCGAGAUGUGUGUAUGUCACACCCCCAAACCUGAACGGCGGAAACGUUCGGGGGCGGAUGACUUCAUGUGGUAACGUAACAAAUGAAUACAUAGUAAAGAAAGCAAUACAACCAUCAUAUAUAUAAUUGAAAGUUUACAUUUGUCAAAAGUUAGAUGUUCAAAAACCAAUUACAAUAUGAUGUCAAAAUAUGAGAUUAAACUGGCGCCGCAGCAUCCCUUCAUCAAAAGCGAAAUGAAUACCUGAAAUUACUGAUUUCCUGGGACAUACAAGUAAUUUUGAAAGAGUAGAUCAGCAUUUAAGCUGGUGAAUUUCAUAAGUAUUUAAGUGACAAUGUUUGAAUGAAAUGAAAUGUUUUAUCUUUGUUUGUUUGUGUUUAGAAAAUCCUAUAUUUUCUACUAGUAUAAAAGUAGCCUUCACUCAAGACCAAUGUUUGUUUCCAAAAUGUAUGUAAAUGUAAAAUAACCAAUGAGUUUGAAAACCUUGUAAAUCAAUGCAUUUUUAAUACCCCUUGUGAGUUUUAUAACCAUACUAUUGACUCUGAAUGCCUAUACACAACGUUCUUCAGGCGUUGGAAUGUUAUGACGUUUGUCACCCCAAACGGUGGACUGCAGCUAACAGUCAGGGCGCGGGUUGUCAAGCCCGUAUAGAUCUAUACACAAACACCAUGCUCCCCCUCCAAGGGAUUCUGGUAUAUAAUACAGGACUUGAAAUGUGUACUCGAACGUACAUGAAGUUAGUGUCUCACAAAACCGUGGUAUAAAAACAGAUCUACUUGUUAAAAUGUUACGUUUGUUCUUGUAUACGAAAGUAAACUUCUUGAAAUAUGUGUUUCUAGUACAUAAGAGUUAGAAAUCUGUUCGUAAAACUAUACCUAUUAUAGUUUCCAAAAAGCGUGUCUUGUUUGUUUAGAAAUAUUGAGAAAAGGAAUCACUUGUUUAUGAAAGUAUAGAUUUUUGGUGUAGAGUCUAGGAUAGACAAGAAAAAUCUAAGAACAGUUUAGUUUAUACAUGCAUUACAACAACAUUAUAUUUUAAAAGGUAAAAUGCUAUUGUGACAUAUGUUAUAUAUAUAUAAAAGUUCCUUUAAAUGUUUAUAAAUCGCAUGUGAUUUGAAUAUAUAACAGUAUAUAAAAGAGUUUCUUUAUGUAACACACGAUAAUACUCGUGUGUUUUACUUGUAAUCCCCCCCUUGAAAGCAUAUAAAAGUAUUUAGAAUAAUUAAAAAGGUUGAUUAAGGGGUAUGAAACUCACUUGAAAGUUUUGGAGAUAGCGAGAUGGAAAACCGGGCAGAGUUUCGUCUCGGGAAACGGAUUUUCCUCGGGAUUCUCGGGAAUCUCGGGAGUAAAAUCGACCUUCGGGACUUGAGCCAAAAAGACCAGAGCUUCGGGUUUGAACGGACACGGAAAACGAGGCAAAGUUGAGAGAGAGAGAAGAGAAAUGAACCCUUUCUUUGGAAACCCUCGCAUCCUAUUUAUAGUAAGGCUGGUCUGCCUCGGUACGCGGGGCGUACGCUCGUACGCAGCGCGUACGCGUACGUCAUGCAUGACCGAAGCCUCGACUGCCUCGGUUCGGAUGGGACGGGUUGCUGGGUACGCGGGUCGGAUGGGACGCCGGGUCGGAUGGGACGUCGGGUCGGACGGGUCGGGGCUUCGGACGGGUCGGAUGGGUCGGUUUCUUCGGAUAGCGCGACGUGGACGAUCAGAGGCCAAUCCUCUCGGUUACGCGGGGCGUACAGGGGUACGCAGCGCGUACCUCGGAGGAGGAUGCUGACUCCCCUUCGGAUAAUAUCCGAAUUUUGAAUUAAAUAAAUAAUUAAUUUAUUUAAUAAACUUCAAAAAUUCAUAUCUUCUUCAUACGAACUCCGUUUUCGAUGGUCUUUAUAUCCUCGCGUAGGUGAGACUACGCUCUACAACUUUCGUUUAGACUCCGUCGGCAAAUUCCAAAAUUAUAUUUUUAUUAUUUAUUAAAAACCCAUCGUGUUUAAGGAAUUUCUUUGAAAAUUCAUAACUUCUUUAUCUGAUGUCGGUUUUUGCCAGACUUUUUACCGCUGGAAUACCAUUGUCGAGACCUUCGAUUCUCGUUUAGGUCAUUCCGGCCAAAAGUCGCUCGAUCUCCGAUUCGAGUUUUUAGCUGUCUGUUGCUAAGCCGAACUUGGAAAAAUCAUAACUUCGCUAUAUGAAGUCGGAUUUGGGCGUUCUUUUCACGUACGAUCAUGGUUCAAAGACAUUUAAUCAUAGAAGGAAAUUAAGUAGAACUUAUUUAUACAUUUUAUUAUGAAAGUAACUUUUUAUUAUUCAGAAGUGGUUACAAUACUUGACCCAUUUUGGUCGUUACAAAGAGUUGAAAUAUCGGGUUGUCACAUCAUCCCCCCGUUAGAGAGAAUUUCGUCCCGAAAUUUAAAGUAGUAAAGAUACUAGUGAACAUGAAAGAGAUGAGGGUACUUUUGUUUCAUCUGAUCUUCGCGUUCCCAUGUGAAUUCGGGUCCCCGCUUGGCGUUCCAGCGAACCUUCACGAUGGGUAUGCGACUUUGUUUUGUUUGUUUGACCUCUCGGUCCAUGAUUUCUACUGGUUCUUCCACAAAGUUGAGGCUCUCGUUGAUCUCGAUCUCGUCGAGUGGAAUAACAAGAGUCUCGUCGGACAGACACUUUUUCAAGUUUGAGACGUGGAAGGUUGGAUGGAUGUUACUAAGUUCGCGCGGUAGGUUAAGCUUGUAAGCCACAGGGCCGAUUCUGGCAAGAAUCUCGAAAGGCCCUAUGUAUCUUGGAUUUAGUUUCCCACGCUUUCCAAAUCGUAUUAAACCCUUCCACGGUGAGACCUUUAAUAAGACGUGGUCUCCUACCUGGAAUUCCAAAGGUUUCCUCCUUUGGUCAGCGUAGCUUUUCUGUCGGUCUCUUGAGGCUUUCAAUCGUUCACGAAUCUGAACGAUCUUCUCUGUUGUUUCACGUAUGAUCUCCGGACCGGUGAGAGUGCUUUCAGGAACUCUUCCUCUAGCUAACUGGGUAUCGCCAACUUCAGUCCAGCACAGAGGGGAUCUGCACUUUCGACCAUAGAGGGCUUCAAACGGAGCAGCCUUUAUGCUUGUAUGAUAACUAUUGUUGUAUGAAAAUUCGACAAGGGGUAAAUGAAUAUCCCAUGCCUUUCCAAAGUCAAUCACGCAGGCUCUCAGCAUGUCUUCUAAAGUUUGUAUUGUUCUCUCACUUUGUCCGUCUGUCUGUGGGUGGUAGGCUGUACUCAUGUCUAGCCUAGUUCCCAGGGAACUUUGUAGUGACUGCCAGAAUCUUGAAGUGAAUCUACUAUCUCGAUCGGAGAUAAUGGAUAUCGGAACACCAUGCAGUCGCACUACUUCCCUUAAGUAAGUUCUUGUAAGCUUCUCCAUUUUGUCAGUCUCCUUGAUGGGUAGGAAAUGUGCGGAUUUGGUCAAUCUGUCGACAAUGACCCAUAUGGUAUCGAGUCCACUUGUCGUCUUGGGUAACUUGGUUAUGAAGUCCAUAGUAAUCCGCUCCCAUUUCCAUUCCGGUAUCUCUGGUUGUUGUAGUAGUCCUGACGGUUUCUGAUACUCGACCUUAACCUUAGCGCAAGUAAGACAUUUACUCACGAAGGUAGCAAUUUCUGCUUUCAUGUUAGGCCACCAGUACAGUUUCUUAAGAUCCAGAUACAUUUUAUCUGAACCCGGGUGAACGGAAUAUCUUGAGUUGUGAGCCUCGGUCAUGACUACGUUUCUGAAACCACCAUGAUUUGGGGUCCAGAUUCGGUCCAUGAGAUAGUAGGCUCCGCCACCCUUGACUUCUAAAUUCUUCUCCAUUCCUCGCAGGGAUUCACCCGCCACAUUUUCAGGUUGCAAAGCUUCCAUUUGUGCUUCCUUAAUUUGUGUGGAUAAGUGGGAAUGGAUAGUCAUGGUCAGAGAUUUGACCCUCCGACCAGUGUAUUCCUUUCGACUGAGGGCGUCGGCUACUACGUUGGCCUUGCCAGGAUGAUAACGAAUUUCGCAUUCGUAGUCAUUCAGUAACUCAACCCAUCGUCGUUGUCGCAUGUUGAGUUCCUUCUGAUCGAAAAUGUGUUGAAGGCUCUUGUGAUCGGUGAAUAUAGUACUCUUUGUUCCGUAUAAGUAGUGCCUCCAGAUCUUCAGAGCAAAUACCACUGCUCCUAACUCGAGGUCGUGUGUCGUAUAGUUCACUUCGUGUGUCUUAAGCUGUCGGGAGGCAUAAGCGAUAACCUUCCCUCUCUGCAUAAGAACACAACCAAGUCCUUGAUUUGAAGCAUCGCAAUACACUACGAAGUCUUCUAUCCCUUCGGGGAGGGAUAGUAUCGGUGCGGUGCACAAGGCCUGCUUUAGUGUCUGGAAUGCCUUCUCUUGUUUCGCUUCCCAGUCAAAGGCCACACCUUUCUGGGUUAAUGAAGUAAGAGGUUUCGCAAUGCUCGAAAAGUUCUUUAUGAAUCUGCGAUAGUAGCCAGCUAGACCUAGAAAUUGACGAAUUUCUGUAGGUGUCUUUGGUGCCGACCAGUUCUCAAUAGCCUUAAUUUUGGAGGGGUCCACGUGUAUACCUUUCUCGCUAACAACGUGACCUAAAAAUUCGACUCUUCGAAUCCAAAAUUCGCAUUUAGAGAACUUCGCAUAGAGUUUCUCCGUUCGCAGUGUUUCUAGGACUUUUCGUAGGUGUUGACUAUGCUCUUCCUCACUUCGAGAGUAGAUAAGUAUAUCAUCGAUAAAGACGAUGACGAACUGAUCCAAGUAAGGGCGGCAUACCCUAUUCAUUAGGUCCAUAAAUACUGCUGGUGCAUUGGUUAAUCCGAACGGCAUCACCACGAAUUCGUAGUGUCCAUAACGAGUUCGGAAGGCUGUCUUUGGAAUGUCCCCCUCUAGAACUCGUAAUUGGUGAUAUCCGGAUCGCAGGUCUAUUUUGGAGAAGUAGUUCGCCCCUUGAAGUUGAUCGAAUAGGUCGUCGAUACGGGGUAGAGGAUAGCGGUUCUUGACAGUAAGUUUGUUCAGCUCUCUGUAGUCGAUGCACAUACGGAACGAUCCGUCUUUCUUCUUUACAAACAAGACCGGUGCUCCCCAAGGUGAGAAACUUGGUCUUAUGAAUCCUUUGUGAAGGAGUUCAUUAAGUUGACUGGAAAGUUCCUGCAUCUCUGCUGGUGCAAGACGAUAAGGCGACUUCGCUACUGGGGUAGCUCCUGGAAUUAAGUCGAUUCUGAACUCGACUUGGCGUUGCGGUGGUAAUCCUGGUAGUUCUUCUGGAAAGAUAUCGGGAAAGUCGCGUACUACCGAGAUGCUCUUGAUGUCCUUCAGUUCUUGACUUGUAUCGACGAUGUGCGCUAGGAAUGCUCGACAAUCCUUCCGCAAGCACUUUCGAGCUUGGAUGCACGAAAUGAUGCGAAGGUUUGCACUAGAUUUGUCGCCGUAGAUAACUAAUGUUUCGUUGUUAGGGAGGUUAAGACGGACUGCUUUCUCAAAGCACAUGAUGUCGGCGCGAAGAAGACUCAACCAAUCCAUGCCGACUAUGACGUCGAAACUUUUAAUUUGAACCGGCAUGAGAUUGAUUGGGAAAGAAUGGCCGUCUAAUGUUAACGUACAGCCCAUGUAUAUGCAAUUUGUGUUUUCGGUUUUUCCAUUGGCCAUCUCUACAGUGAAUGAUUUUUCUAACUUGCUAGGUUUAGGUUUAAGUAAAUGAAUAAAGUUUUGACUCACGAAGCUUCUCUCCGCUCCACUAUCGAAUAAUAUGCAUGCGUAUGAAUUAUCGAGAAGGAACGUACCAGCAACUAUAGUUGGGUCAGCUACAGCUUCGUCGUGGCCUAUUGCCAAAACUCGUCCCACACCUCCGGUGCCUGCUGCCUUAGGACAGUUUCUCUUGUAGUGGCCCACCUCGCCACAACCGUAGCAAGCCUGCCCUACACCCGCACCGGGAACUUGAGUGAUCGGCUUUGCGGGUUCCUUGCAGAAACGGGCUGUGUGUCCUUUCCUGCUGCAGUUGGCGCACUGCAUAUCUCGACAAGGUCCAUGGUGGUGGUAAUUGCAUUUGGUGCAUUUUGGGAGGUUGCCUAUAUAAGGCUUUGUUGGGUAGGUAUUUGUAGGGGCUGUAGCAGGUACAAUGGCAGCAUUUACUGACACCAGUUGUUUCUUUGCGGAUUCUUGGGAAGACCCACCCUUCCCUUUAAUCCACGCUCUCUUCCUGUCGUUGUUGUUGUUGUUGUUGUUGUUGUUGUUGUUGUUGUUUCCUUUCUGUGGUGCUGGUGCAGAAGUGGUUGAGUUCUGAUGACCUCCGUAGUCGAUCAGAGAUUGUGCCAGUUCCUUAGCACUUUCAAAGGUGUCAGGUUUAGAAGCUAACACGCUUGAUCGCAUUUGGGGCGUCAGUCCCCAGAUGUACCUUUCUAUCUUCUUGCUCUCGGGAGCAAUCAUAUCUGGACAAAGGAUUGCCAGUUCGCAGAAUCUGUUGGUAUAAGUAGCGAUGUCGGUACCCACCAUUCCGAGAGUCCAUAGCUCGUGUUCAAGCUUUUGAAUUUCUCCCCGUGGGCAGUAUUCUCUCAUCAUCAUGGCCUUCAAGCUCUCCCAGCUUAUGGAGUUUGCCACGAUUAGGGUAAGUACUUUAACGUGGCCAUUCCACCAAGUUAAAGCUUUAUCGAGAAGGGUGAAAGUUGCAAAUUUGACCUUGCUGUGCUCGGGGCAGGAGCAGAUUUCAAAGACUGCCUCCGUCCUUUCAAUCCACUGCCUCAGGGCCAUCACACCACCAGUACCAUAAAACAUCCGGGGCUUGGCAUUAGUGAAGUCCUUAUAGGUGCAUUCUCGAGGUGGUCCAUGACUCUCGCCAUGGUUGGAUAGGUGUGUGCCAGAUCCCGAGCCAUUAGUACUCGAGUUAUUGAUCUGUGACAUGGCAGCUGCCACCGCUGCGGUGACUGCUGCUUGAAACAUUACAGCAUCAAAUUGGGGUGGUGGAGGUGGUGGUGGUAUAGGUGCUUCCUCACCGUUGUUUCGCCUUGGAUUCCUACGCGGAGGCAUCCUUCAACUAUAGAUUGAAAAGACAAGGAUAAGAAUUUCAUAGAAUGGAAAAUGUAUGUGUCUCAUGAACUAAAUCGCUAUAGUUCAACAACAGAUGAUAGUAUGAGUCUUAAAAUAGAAGAAUGAAAGUUAUUUGUAAGACUGAAGGUAUGAAACAAGUAUUUGGGUUCACAAAGACCAUUCAAGGUUCGAACGAAAUACUCAACAUAGUAGUAAUAGUGCCACUUAUAUUAAUAUAAAAGUUGUUACAACGAUCAUGAAAAUUUGACCCCUAUAAGGGUCUCCGAUUACAAAGUUCGAGAAAUUUAAAGACUUUUAGCCGAGGUCCUAAGCUAUAACAAAAUUUGAGUCCUUGACAAGCACUACUUGCGUCGAAGGUUGCGCUUGGAGCUUGACUCCGUAUCUGAUUGCUUUGACUCCAUUAGACGCCUAUCGAAAGCGGCUUGUUGUUCCCUUAGUUCGGCGAGGGCUGCAAUCAUUUGCGCUUGAAAUGCUUCGGUUUGGAAUUGAGCGUUGUCUUGCAUCUUGUCCAGCCUACGGAUGUCAGAAGUGUGAACCUGCACUUCCACGUUGACAUCCCGGAGUCGACUAGCUUGAACUCCAGACUGAUAGGACUGAUUGGCUAACUUACCCACCAUUACCGGGAGUGCUCGAUCAGCCGAACCUCCGCCGCGGACAUCAUAGAAGUCCCGGCACAUGCCGUAGGGAGGGCGUAGGUUUUGCUGUUGGCUCCAAUGGUGGAGGUGACUUCCCCAGACGGGAGUCGGUCCUUGAAAGUUCCUUACGAAGACGGGAGGUUGAAUGGGUGGUGGAUCGAUAACUUCCGGCUCUGAGUCGGUACCGGAGUCAUCACCCACUUCUAUGGGUUCCUCGUCCUCUUCGGGAUCAUCUUCGAUCCAUCCUCCGUUGCCUUGGUUGGGAAAGUAGGGGUCGCCAGGGUGGUGAAAUCCAGCCAUUUGACUGUACGAGAAAUAGGGUUAUAAGAAUGGAAUAAAGUUGAAACAUGCAAAACAUGUAAGUUAAACUAGUUUAGAUAGCAAAUACUCCUAUAGUAUUUAAAUUCUUGUGUUUGAUUCUAGUAAUGGUUUGGUAAGUUUUGACUUGUUGCUUACUACGAUCAUUCCUCGAUAUACGUUGGUCCAAUCUUGGGCAAAUAUAGUUGAUCACGCUAUAUUUGUCCAAAAUCUGAUUACAUAUAUCGAGUCUCAAUCGUAGUGUCAACUUGUCUAAAUACUUGUAUAGUUGUAUAACAUGAAAAUAAUUUGUGGUAUGCAUGUAAUUGUACUUAAAUGAACUAUCAAUUUAAGUUGAACGCAAUGCUGCUUAAGCGUAAAAAGAAAAUUUGUUUUGUCAGAGAGUAUUAGUCCCUUAAGCAUACCUGCACUUCCACGUUGAUAUCCCAGAGUGUCCAACCUACGGAUGUCAGAAGUGUCCAACCUACGGAUGUCACACCCCCAAACCUGAACGGCGGAAACGUUCGGGGGCGGAUGACUUCAUGUGGUAACGUAACAAAUGAAUACAUAGUAAAGAAAGCAAUACAACCAUCAUAUAUAUAAUUGAAAGUUUACAUUUGUCAAAAGUUACAUGUUCAAAACCAAUUACAAUAUGAUGUCAAAAUAUGAGAUUAAACUGGCGCCGCAGCAUCCCUUCAUCAAAAGCAUAAUGAUACCUGAAAUUACUGAUUCCCUGGGACAUACAAGUAAUUUUGAAAGAGUAGAUCAGCAUUUAAGCUGGUGAGUUUCAUAAGUAUUUAAAUGACAAUGUUUGUAUGAAAUGAAAUGUUUUGUCCUUGUUUGUUUGUGUUUAGAAAAUCCUAUAUUUUCUACUAGUAUAAAAGUAGCCUUCACUCAAGACCAAUGUUUGUUUCUAAAAUGUAUGUAAGUGUAAAAUAACCAAUGAGUUUGAAAACCUUGUAAAUCAAUGCAUUUUUAAUACCCCUUGUGAGUUUUAUAACCAUACUAUUGACUCGGAAUGCCUAUACACAACGUUCUUCAG